GUGGUCGUUAACCUGGGAUAAACCUAUCGGAAACUUGUUUACUGGGUAGGUGGCGUCCGGCAUAAAAGUGGCGUGAAUCUAUUUUGGGCUAUUGCGUGGAACUGCGAGAACCUGUCGUUUCGAUGAUAAGGGAGAAAUCCAAACUCUGAGGAUGAGAGUACCGAUGCGAAAAACAGGGGCGGAUUAGCUCAAGAAGUUUCUGUAAUGGAGAUGGAGCGAAGGGAUUUAGUUUAGUCAUUUGUUAACCAGAAAUGGGAUGAGCAAUUGAUUAAAACAGAGUCCUUGAUUAUGCUAUAAUUAGUAGCAAGAGCCGAAUAAUGGGAGCUGUGUGAGUCGAGAGGUUCAUCUGCGAGAGGCUAGCGGGGAAGUUCCGCCGGUCUACUCUCC
rnacentral:autocatalytically_spliced_intron from 1 species